CAAGUUGAGUUUAGAAGCCCUUCCAGAUGGUUCUCUCCACAAGACGAUGUGAACUGAGUUACCAGCGGAGUACGUCCACUCUCAAAUACCACUCGAGCAUUAAAUACAAAAAAGUACAUCUAGAGCAUGUGCAAUUAAUUUGGGAUUAAACGCCAGUUGUCAAUGGACAAUCAUGCGAUUCAUUACGAUUUAAUAUUUUAAUCAAUUGACAGCCCUAAUAUGUGUGUGUGUGUGUGUGUGUGUGUGUGUUUGUGUGUGCCAGAUCUUUGGGGGCCCUUUAAGAAAAAAGUUACAUUAUUGUUUGCAUAUUGUUUGCAAAAGGACUUUUGACUUUGGCUUCCGUGUGUAUGUGUGUGUGUGUGUGUGUGUAGAUGUACUCACUGUACCUUUCAGUCAACCUCUUUGCCAUUUUUAUUUAUUAACACUGGGCGGGAAGUGAACCAGCGCUCUGAUUGGCUGGCAGCUGUCCCAGCAAAGUGUCUCUGUUGGCAUGUAAAGCUCCUAUUUAUGGAUCAGAGUAGAGUAGUCUAGCUUUAAGAGGAAAUAAAUAUGAAUUCAAGGAUUGUACCUGAUGUCUAAAAUACCAGUGAAGAAUGCAUGUGUGACUGGCUGUGUGAGUGGCCGCUCCUCUCACCCUAUGGGAGGCCCCGCUCACGCUCUCCUUCCCUCGCCCUCCUAUCAGAUCCCUGUGCAUGUCCCGAACCCGUCCCCACUUUAUCCUUCCAAACUUGGACUGUUAUUUUCUGUAAAAAUUUGUACUUUUGAACAAAACUAUUAUCAAAGUGACUAAUAUAUCUCUGUUAGGUACGUUUUAAUGUUAGCAAUAACGUCUAUACAUCAGUAAAGGAAUAUAUUUGAUAUUUAAAUGCAGUGAAAAUAUUACGUGAUAAAACAACAGUGAUGAUGGAUAGAGGUUGUGUUUUAAAAGCAAUAUUAUUCUGAGUAUAAACAAAAAAAUGAGUGCCAUAAGUCUUUUCUCUUUUUUUUUCUUGUAUUUCCUGUUUGUUUGACUUCAGUCCUCUGCCUCAUUGUUGUUUGUUCCAGUCACUAGUACUGUAAGUGGUGAAGGCUUCUGUAGCUUCCCAGUAUGUCUCUGUGUAUCAUGAAUGCUGACUUGGUUAAGCUAUAGCAACAGAAAUAAAGACACCCUGCUGCUUCUGUC